UUGAAUAUAUCAUCCAUCCACAUUUCGGCUUCAUUUACACGUCUCACAUUAUAAGGAACACACAUUUAUUCAGUUGUUUGAAAGAAUUGCAACAAAAAUAGCAACAGAACGAUCCAAACAUCGCCGUACGAAAAAAUGUACACACCGAACGCCUGAUUCCACAGUUGCCGCCUUUUUGCAUCGUGACGUCACGCAACUAACGAAUAGAAGCGUAGAUGCGAGACAUCGUUAGCUCGAUUCCACGCUCGAUUCCCAUGGUCGGUAGAUAAAUUCGCGUCAUUAGAGGUUAAUGGAUAAAUUCACGUGUCUUAUUGGAAACUUUUUUUUAUCAUCGGAUUAUUGUGUGCUAAUAAACGAACAGCAUCAAUCAUCGUUAGUGAAAUGAAACAGACGAAUGCACACACGGAAACAUAUAAACGGAUAACAUCGGAAUCCUAAGCUUUCUGGAGAUCUUCCGUAGCCAAAUACAACGACGACGACGCGACAACAUGCUCUGGGAGUUCGGAGGUCUGUUUACACGAGUUCGCAAAUAUAGCCAUAGGUAUCGGAGCCAACCGAAGCGAAGAAUUGAUAAAUUAGUUAUUCCGUCAGUCGUCUGCUGCUGUUCCUCCAGGUACGUUUGAUUUGAGGUUUCGAAUAGUCAUGCCUAUUUAUAUUGAAGACCUUUGGAGCUUUCCCAACGUUCGACUAUCUAAAAAUGAAGGACUGCAGGUCUUGUGACGAUCUAAUGUUGCAGAAUCAAAAAGUAUAUUUUUCCGUGAAACUGACAUAAUUUGAUGUAAUACAUGUAAUCUGAUACAUGUCAGAUGUUAGAGAUUAUACAAGGUUAUAAAUUAUUCGGAAAAGCUUUAAUAGUGGGCGUAGCUGGCCCGUUUAUCAUCGGAUAACAGUUCCAGAGUAUAUCCUUUGAAUGUAACUCUACUCUUGGGCAAACAAGACUAAGGGUUAUGACCAUUCUCGUUUGUCUUUGCAUCCAGAGAAUCUUCGCGCGAAAUCCCUAGCCAGGACCCAAUUAACUCUCUAAGAAUUCGAUCCUAUCCCAUGGUAAUUCUAAGAUAGUACGACUCUAACAGCAGAUUAGAAAAGACAAUAUUUGCUUCGGUGCUUCUGCGUCUAAUCGCAGAUGCGCCUUCACUUAAUAUCGCUUACUAUUUGUCUUCCCUUACAAUGGAAAUUUGCGACGUGGGUAUUACACAGAUAGAACAAAAAUCGAGGGUAGGAUAAUCCUUAAAAUCGCUCCAUUCAAUUCUUUAGCAUAUUUAAAUUAGUAUCGAAUUUUUUUUCACAAUUCCAACGUUCACGAGUUCCAUAUUUUUUCUAACAGGUCACGUCCAAAAUGGCCAACAUCUCAUGCGAACUGCAACGCUUCUAAGAAUCCUUCGUCUCUGACCACAGAAACCCGUAUCCGCAUCGACGACGGUUUGAAUUGAAGAUUUUUGCGGACGGUAACUCGUUGGCUCACGCGCUAACGUAUUUGCAAGAUCCGCUGCGCUGAUGGACAUAUAAUGCGACGUGUGAUUGUAGGCCCGCCAAUCGCGGCCGAUUGUGCCUCUGAAGGCCCGCUAACUAUCUCAAACUAGCCCCAUUCAAACCGCCACGACCUCUCUCUAGCCGUCUCUAUCUACCAGCCCAGCCUCUGUGUCUCGCUCGUUCCAACCCUCAUUCACCGCCACCCUCCCCCUGGUACCCGUGCGUCUCGUUCAUCACCAAACUUCGCCUCUCUGUUGCUCUCAACUCGCGUCUCGUUUGCACCGACUUCACAGGACGAUUUUCCCUCCUACUCGGUGAAAACUCAGUUCCUCAUUCGCCGUUCGAAUUCGACGUACGUUUCUUGCCGCACGUUUCUUCUGCACGCCCUGUAUCCCUCUCUAAUUUUCGACCGGCUCUCUCGCCACACACGUAAUCUUCUAUUUCAUUCGCUUUACUUUUCCUAAUGCGAUAGCUCGCUCCAUACACAUACAAUCGUAGCCUCAUCUCUUUUCAAUCUCACCUCGCGGAUCGAAUGUUUUGCCUUCCAUUUAACAUCCUUUAUCUCGCUCCCUCUAUUCAACUCUCUCAAAAAAAGUUUUUCUCUCCGAGGUUCCGGCGAUUCCAUUCGCCCCGCUAUCUGGUCUUCCGUCCAUCUAAUGUUUCCACUUUCUUUUCAUCCGUUAAAUCGUGCAUCUCGUUUAACUCGACUUCCGUCGUUUUCUAUUUCGCAAAUUCAUACAUUCUCGCCUCUAGCCAUUCCUUUUAAGAAUGUAAGCCCUACAUGCACUUUCUUCCCUGCUCCACCGUCACCGCUUCUCACUCGUUUGAUUUUCGCGUUCUUUUUCUCGACUAUGCAGCACUGCUUCAUUUUCCCCCUUCUUGCUUCUUAAAUCUAUGUUCUCUCUCACUUUCGUCCAUCUUUCACUCUCUCUCUAUCUCUCUCUCUCUCUCUCUCUCUCUCUCUCUCUACCCUUUCGAACCGCAACCAACUACCUCUCCUCUUUCAACCUAUUCCCCCGACGUACCUUAUCUCCAUUCUCGGUCUCUGUUCGACCUGCUUCAUUCAUCGACACAAUCACGCAUGGUUACGUAGGUACAUUCCGCUAGGCGUCACCGAGUAUUCGUCCCGAUUCGAAUUCUCGACCCUAUAUAACCGUGGCACGUUCUACGUGGGAAUUUCAAAUCUAUCAGCGACCCAGACGAAUGCAAAUCGCGCAUGAAGCGCGCUUAAUAAAGCCUCGCACGCGGCCCGCAACUCGCAAUUUUCUUUUCGACGCUACGUGUCGCACGCUCCUCUUAAUGAAACCUUCGCAUGCACCGUGCGCAAUUCGCGGCUACGCUCCUAUUCUACACGCAUCUCCGUCCCGCGAUACCGUUAGAAAAAGAACGCACUCGGGAUCGUUAAGCUUCGGCCCAGGGGAGAGAACGAGGACCAUUUCAACUCCCUUGUAGAAAGAGAUCCGUUCAUAAGAAUACAAGUUCCAUAGAAUAAAACUUUUCUAGUAAAUCACGGAAAUUCUAUUAUCUAAUAAACUUUAUGGAUAUCGCAUAAAUAAAAUGAAAGACUUAAGAACUAUUUUCUUUUAUUCCCAUUAUAAAUAGAAGACUUUAUAUUACAAAACUUCUAUUUUGCUUCUAUCUUUAAUGGUCAAGUUCAAAGCGAUAACAUUUAUAGGACCUUCCCACAAAAUGGUCUCUAUCAAGCUUAAACUUUUGACUUACUUUCGUCAAGAAAUCGCUUCUCGUACCAUUGCGCCAUAAAUUCAUCCCCACCACCCUGAGAACGUACGCCGAUGAACCGUUCCUCUUUCCAAUAAAUUCUUCUCGAAUCACCUGUCGUCAUUUCGUCCAGCUUUCAAGCGAUUCCGACCAAUCGUGAGACACGUCUCAAAGCGUCAGUGCAAAAACUGUGACGACACAGCGGAUAUCGAUCAUGACGAUCAGCGUCAGGAACAAUAUCGAGCUGAAGGAGGAUGUCGCUUUUGACCGGGCGUGUUUCGACCAGGCGAAAAUUGAAUUUCAAGGAAGCCGAGUCAAGAGAUAAGCAUGGAGAAGCGUACCAGCUAUUUGCGUGGCCUUAAUAAGGACGUUUGACGGCGUUAGCUUUCCCUUAACAAGACGGCUAAUAUCCCGGGGCCUUGGCUCCCCUUGGUCUACCUUCUCUGUCCUUCCCUCUGUUCCUUCGUCUCCCUUUCUCCAUCGACUCGCUCGCCUUCCGCACGGCGGACACCGUCGGGAAUCACCAAAGCUUGAAAACCGAACAAACUCAGUUAGAGAACUCGGUGUGAGGAGCAACCGGACCUGCCGGCAAAACUCAUCCUUCUCCGCAUCCACGAUUCUCUUACGCAGCUUGCCACGUUUAUGGACUGACUUUGUUUCGUCCUGGGCGAUCAUUAAUUUAAUAGCGGCGAUUGUACUGAAAGAUUGUACAUUUUUACUGACAAUCACAGUGUAAUUUUCUGUAAAAUAAUUUUCUAUAAAAUUGAAGUAAAAAAGAUUGAAAAAAUUAAGGUAGGGUUGUAUAUAACGAAAAGUAAUACAUGACAUGAAAUAUGUGGCUCAUAAAAUAUAAUAUAAAAAUUUAUUCUGCAUAUACUCUAAAAGUUAUAUAAAACACUUCGUAAACGUUUCUAGUAACUGCGUCUUAAUAUGACCUUACUAACAAAACCUUGCUUUAUGUGAGUAAGUCGAUCUACGACUUAUAACGAUGUGAACACUAUUGUCUACAAUGGUGUUUAAACCUAAAUAAGUACCGAAAGAGGGACAAACAAGAGAAGUAAAAUU